AUUGAACGCUGGCGGCAUGCCUUACACAUGCAAGUCGAACGGCAGCACGGGAGCAAUCCUGGUGGCGAGUGGCGAACGGGUGAGUAAUGCAUCGGAACGUGCCAUUGAGUGGGGGAUAACGUAGCGAAAGUUACGCUAAUACCGCAUAUUCUGUGCGCAGGAAAGCAGGGGGAUCGCAAGACCUUGCGCUCUUUGAGCGGCCGAUGUCAGAUUAGCUAGUUGGUGAGGUAAAGGCUCACCAAGGCGACGAUCUGUAGCGGGUCUGAGAGGAUGAUCCGCCACACUGGGACUGAGACACGGCCCAGACUCCUACGGGAGGCAGCAGUGGGGAAUUUUGGACAAUGGGGGCAACCCUGAUCCAGCCAUGCCGCGUGAGUGAAGAAGCCUCGGUGUAAGUCUUCGCGGAGAAUCGCACAGUAAUACCUGUGUGGAGUGACGGUACCGGACGUAAGAAGACGACCGGCCGUAACUACGUCG
rnacentral:rRNA from 1 species